rnacentral:rRNA from 1 species
GACGAACCGAGCGAACGUUGUUCGGAAUCACUGGGCUUAAAGGGCGCGUAGGCGGGUGCUCAAGUCCGGGGUGAAAUCCCACAGCUCAACUGUGGAACUGCCUCGGAUACUGGGCGUCUCGAGUGUGGUAGGGGUAUGCGGAACUAUCGGUGGAGCGGUGAAAUGCGUUGAUAUCGAUAGGAACUCCGGUGGCGAAGGCGGCAUACUGGACCACCGCUGACGCUGAUGCGCGAAAGCCAGGGGAGCAAACGGG